rnacentral:rRNA from 1 species
UACGUAGGGCGCAAGCGUUGUCCGGAAUUAUUGGGCGUAAAGAGCUCGUAGGCGGUUUGUCGCGUCGGCUGUGAAAACCCGGGGCUCAACCCCGGGCCUGCAGUCGAUACGGGCAAACUAGAGUGUGGUAGGGGAGACUGGAAUUCCUGGUGUAGCGGUGAAAUGCGCAGAUAUCAGGAGGAACACCGGUGGCGAAGGCGGGUCUCUGGGCCGAUACUGACGCUGAGGAGCGAAAGCGUGGGGAGCGAACAGG